UUCCGUAGGUGAACCUGCGGAAGGAUCAUUCGCACAUGUUCCAGCAUACUAUUGUUGAAUUGUUCUGUGAGAUUUGUGUGGGGGUGUCGAUUGCGUUUCCCCCCAUGUGAAUUCUCAUGGGUGGUAAGGUGCUCGGGGUGGUUCCGCACAUACCUGUUCAUUCUUACUGCCAAUCGUAACGCUGAGCGAUUUGAUGUUAGCUGUUGUCGAGUGAAACUGUAGCGUUACGCUUACAACUUACAGCGAUGGAUGUCUCGGUUCGAACAACGAUGAAGGGCGCAGCGAAGUGCGAUAAGCAUUGUGAAUUGCAGAAUUCCGUGAACCGACAGGGACUUGAACGCGCAUUGUGCUUUUGGGAUAUCCCUAAAAGCAUGCCUGCUUCAGUGUCUAUGUUGUGUUGUUCCAGCAAUGUCUGCACUGCGUUUGUGCAUUGCUGUGAACAUUUAUGCCUCAAGAUGUUUGGCCCUAUUCGGGUGUCGGUGAGGCAUUGGAUUUACAAGGCUUUGGUGCGACAAUCGGCUUAGUAAGGCAUUUGGGUUGCUUUUCGCUGUAGCUGUCACAUCCUGAAGCUUGCUGUCACAAUUUGAACUCUUAUUGUUGAGACAUGAAGUUAGGUUGGCAAACCCGCUGAAUUUAAGCAUAUCAAUA
rnacentral:rRNA from 1 species